rnacentral:tRNA from 1 species
GGAGGGAUCGCAUAGUGGUCUAGUGCGGCCGCCUGCUAAGCGGUUAGGGGGCGAAAUCCCCCUCAUGGGUUCGAAUCCCAUUCCCUCCG